rnacentral:tRNA from 1 species
GCCUGGGUGGCUCAGUCGGUUGAGUGUCUGACUUCGGCUCAACCAUGAUCUCAUGGUUCGUGGGUUUGAGCCCCGCAUCAGGCU